CAGCCACAUCCAAGCCCCAGCACAGCAAGGUGCUCCCAGCUGCCACUCCAGCCCCUGGUCAGAGUGCAGCUGUCCGGGAAGCAAGCUCAGUCUCGAGUCCCACUCCUUCGACGACCAGACCCCAACACAAGCCUGAUGUAGAGGCCACUUGCUUCAGGUAGCUCUAAAUUUCCUGUCUCAUACCAUGGCUUAAAAAAAAAAAAUCCAGGAUGAGUUAAAAGUGUUCAUGGUUCAUGUUUGUGGUUUCAUCACCUAGCCAAGGUUAAUGUCUGGGUCUUCCAUUUCUAGCCAGAGAACUGGAAACAAAUCACUGUUUUGCUAGGAGCUUUGCAUGACCUCACGCCCUGGGCUGCUGGGUCCCGGACUGUCCUGAUGGGCUGUGAAAUCCCACCCACUCCCCUCCCCGCAAGGCAGGGAUGGCCUCUGCCCUGCCUGCCUGGGAGCAGGGUAUGCGCUUGCCUAGGCCUCAGUGUCUUAACACUGUGGUGACUCAAAUUUCUUGUUUUACCUUCACCAAGUAACCCAGAGCCAGGAUCCUUGAUGACUGUGGUAAGGCAGUGACGACCCCUGCUCAGAAUGCAAGGGUCGCUAGGGAAGAUUUUAGAAAAAAAAAAGGACUCCAAAAACGGAGAAUCUAAAUGUAGUCCUUUGAAAAUGUCACCCAUAGAUCCUCUACCACUAACUGUAAUCAAUUUGACCAAAUAGCA
rnacentral:antisense_RNA from 1 species